GAUGAACGCUAGCGGGAGGCUUAACACAUGCAAGUCGAGGGGCAGCAUAGAGUAGCAAUACUUUGAUGGCGACCGGCGCACGGGUGAGUAACGCGUAUGUAGCCUACCCUGUACAGGAGGAUAGCCCGGAGAAAUUCGGAUUAAUACCCCAUAAUGAUAUCGAGAGGCAUCUUUUGAUAUUUAAAGCUUCGGCGGUACGGGAUGGGCAUGCGUGACAUUAGCUAGUUGGUAAGGUAACGGCUUACCAAGGCUGCGAUGUCUAGGGGUCCUGAGAGGGUGAUCCCCCACACUGGUACUGAGACACGGACCAGACUCCUACGGGAGGCAGCAGUGAGGAAUAUUGGUCAAUGGGCGUAAGCCUGAACCAGCCAUCCCGCGUGAAGGAAGAAGGCGCUAUGCGUCGUAAACUUCUUUUCCAGAGGAAUAAAAUUUUGUACGCGUACAGAACUGAAGGUACUCUGGGAAUAAGCAUCGGCUAACUCCGUGCCAGCCGCCGCGGUAAUAC
rnacentral:rRNA from 1 species